rnacentral:rRNA from 1 species
AACGGCCGUACCAUGCUGAAUAUACCGGUUCUCGUUAGAUUACCGAAGUCAAGCAUCGUUGGGCGCGGUCAGUACUUGGGUGGGUGACCACCUGGGAACACUGCGUGCCGUU